UGCUUCUGCCCUGCCUGUCUCUCCUGAAGAGCCUGUAACAAUCCAACAGGACUCUCCAGUCGCAGGACUCAUCCCACCAUGUUUCACUUAUGGUAAAGGAGCAGAGUGUAGAGAGGGGCAGGAAAGGAGUGUGUACUAGGCAGCUGAAUCAAAAGCUCAGACCUUUUUUCUGGAACAGCUGAAAACACGGAUUCCAGAAGGGACAGUUUGAACCAUGCCGUUCUCACCAAAAUUAAUAUAUACCUGCCAAAAAGUUUUCUCUGAAGAAUCUGUUGUAGCAAGUAAAAUCUUCCUCAACUUCUUAUGAUGUUUCCAAUUGAAAAUGGGAAUCCCUUGUAAUGAGAUUGUGAAACCAAAAUAGAAUUCACA